AGCGGCAAAAGCUCAAAUUUGAAAUCUGGCACCUUCGGUGUCCGAGUUGUAAUUUGAAGAUUGUAACCUUGGGGUUGGCUCUUGUCUAUGUUUCUUGGAACAGGACGUCACAGAGGGUGAGAAUCCCGUGCGAUGAGAUGCCCAAUCCUAUGUAAGGUGCUUUCGAAGAGUCGAGUUGUUUGGGAAUGCAGCUCUAAGUGGGUGGUAAAUUCCAUCUAAAGCUAAAUAUUGGCGAGAGACCGAUAGCGAACAAGUACAGUGAUGGAAAGAUGAAAAGAACUUUGAAAAGAGAGUGAAAAAGUACGUGAAAUUGUUGAAAGGGAAGGGUUUGAGAUCAGACUCGAUAUUUUGUGAGCCUUGCCUUCGUGGCGGGGUGACCCGCAGCUUAUCGGGCCAGCAUCGGUUUGGGCGGUAGGAUAAUGGCGUAGGAAUGUGACUUUGCUUCGGUGAAGUGUUAUAGCCUGCGUUGAUGCUGCCUGCCUAGACCGAGGACUGCGAA
rnacentral:rRNA from 1 species